GAUGAACGCUGGCGGCGUGCCUAAUACAUGCCAGUCGAGCGAACGGACGAGAAGCUUGCUUCUCUGAUGUUAGCGGCGGACGGGUGAGUAACACGUGGAUAACCUACCUAUAAGACUGGGAUAACUUCGGGAAACCGGAGCUAAUACCGGAUGAUAUUUUGAACCGCAUGGUUCAAAAGUGAAAGACGGUCUUGCUGUCACUUAUAGAUGUAUCCGCGCUGCAUUAGCUAGUUGGUAAGGUAACGGCUUACCAAGGCAACGAUGCAUAGCCGACCUGAGAGGGUGAUCGGCCAAACUGGAACUGAGACACGGAACAGACGCCUACGGGAGGCAGCAGUAGGGAAUCUUCCGCAAUGGGCGAAAGCCUGACGGAGCAACGCCGCGUGAGUGAUGAAGGUCUUCGGAUCGUAAAACUCUGUUAUUAGGGAAGAACAUAUGUGUAAGUAACUGUGCACAUCUUGACGGUACCUAAUCAGAAAGCCACGGCUAACUACGUG
rnacentral:rRNA from 1 species